GACGAACGCUGGCGGCGUGCUUAACACAUGCAAGUCGAACGGUAAGGCUCCAGCUUGCUGGGGUACACGAGUGGCGAACGGGUGAGUAACACGUGGGUGACCUGCCCUGCACUUCGGGAUAAGCCUGGGAAACUGGGUCUAAUACCGGAUAGGACCAUGGUGUGGAUACUGUGGUGGAAAGUUUUUUCGGUGUGGGAUGGGCCCGCGGCCUAUCAGCUUGUUGGGGGGGUAAUGGCCGACAAAGGCGGCGACGGGUAGCCGGCCUGAGAGGGUGGACGGCCACAAUAGGACUGAGACACGGCCCAGACUCCUACGGGAGGCAGCAGUGGGGAAUAUUGCACAAUGGGGGGAAGCCUGAUGCAGCGACGCCGCGUGGGGGAUGAAGGCCUUCGGGGUGUAAACUCCUUUCACCCUAGACGAAGGGUUUCUGACGGUAGAUGGAGAAGAAGCACCGGCUAACUACGUG
rnacentral:rRNA from 1 species